rnacentral:rRNA from 1 species
GGCGAGAGACCGAUAGCGAACAAGUACCGUGAGGGAAAGAUGAAAAGAACUUUGAAAAGAGAGUUAAACAGUACGUGAAAUUGUUGAAAGGGAAACGAUUGAAGUCAGUCAUACUAACGGGAAAUCAACCUCUUGAGUUUGGUNUCGUGGGUUUCGAAGAGUUUCAAAGCCUUCGGAUUCUCGAGAUUGGGCUCUUCUGGUGUACUUUCUCGUACGGUUAGUCAACAUCGGUUUUGAAUGUCAUAAAUGA